UACGUAGGGGGCAAGCGUUGUCCGGAUUCAUUGGGCGUAAAGAGCGUGUAGGCGGCCAGGUAGGUCGGUUGUGAAAACUGGAGGCUCAACCUUCAGACGUCGACCGAAACCAUCUGGCUAGAGUCCGGGAGAGGAGAGUGGAAUUCCUGGUGUAGCGGUGAAAUGCGCAGAUAUCAGGAAGAACACCAAUGGCGAAGGCAGCUCUCUGGGACGGUACUGACGCUGAGACGCGAAAGCGUGGGGAGCGAACAGG
rnacentral:rRNA from 1 species